CCCGCACAAGCGGCGGAGCAUGUGGAUUAAUUCGAUGCAACGCGAAGAACCUUUACCUGGGUUUGACAUACACCGGAAAACCGUAGAGAUACGGUCCCCCUUGUGGUCGGUGUACAGGUGGUGCAUGGCUGUCGUCAGCUCGUGUCGUGAGAUGUUGGGUUAAGUCCCGCAACGAGCGCAACCCUUGUCUUAUGUUGCCAGCACGUGAUGGUGGGGACUCGUAAGAGACUGCCGGGGUCAACUCGGAGGAAGGUGGGGACGACGUCAAGUCAUCAUGCCCCUUAUGUCCAGGGCUUCACACAUGCUACAAUGGCCAGUACAGAGGGCUGCGAGACCGUGAGGUGGAGCGAAUCCCUUAAAGCUGGUCUCAGUUCGGAUCGGGGUCUGCAACUCGACCCCGUGAAGUCGGAGUCGCUAGUAAUCGCAGAUCAGCCACGGCGCGGUGAAUACGUUCCCGGGCCUU
rnacentral:rRNA from 1 species